CCUACGGGUGGCAGCAGUGAGGAAUAUUGGUCAAUGGACGAGAGUCUGAACCAGCCAAGUCGCGUGAAGGAUGACUGCCCUCUGGGUUGUAAACUUCUUUUAUAUGGGAAUAAAACGAUCCACGUGUGGGAUUUUGUAUGUACUAUAUGAAUAAGGAUCGGCUAACUCCGUGCCAGCAGCCGCGGUAAUACGGAGGAUCCGAGCGUUAUCCGGCUUUAUUGGGUUUAAAGGGCGCGUAGGUGGAUUGUUAAGUCAGUUGUGAAAGUUUGCGGCUCAACCGUAAAAUUGCAGUUGAAACUGGCAGUCUUGAGUACAGUAGAGGUAGGCGGAAUUCGUGGUGUAGCGGUGAAAUGCGUAGAUAUCACGAAGAACUCCGAUUGCGAAGGCAGUUCACUGGACUGCAACUGACACUGAGGCUCGAAAGUGUGGGUAUCAAACAGGAUUAGAUACCCCAGUAGUC
rnacentral:rRNA from 1 species